rnacentral:rRNA from 1 species
UACGAAGGGGGCUAGCGUUGCUCGGAAUCACUGGGCGUAAAGGGUGCGUAGGCGGGUCUUUUAGUCAGGGGUGAAAUCCUGGAGCUCAACUCCAGAACUGCCUUUGAUACUGAAGAUCUUGAGUUCGGGAGAGGUGAGUGGAACUGCGAGUGUAGAGGUGAAAUUCGUAGAUAUUCGCAAGAACACCAGUGGCGAAGGCGGCUCACUGGCCCGAUACUGACGCUGAGGUGCGAAAGCGUGGGGAGCAAACAGG